rnacentral:misc_RNA from 1 species
GGAAUAUUGCACAAUGGGCGCAAGCCUGAUGCAGCCAUGCCGCGUGUAUGAAGAAGGCCUUAGGGUUGUAAAGUACUUUCAGCGGGGAGGAAGGCGAUAAGGUUAAUAACCUUGUCGAUUGACGUUACCCGCAGAAGAAGCACCGGCUAACUCCGUGCCAGCAGCCGCGGUAAUACGGAGGGUGCAAGCGUUAAUCGGAAUUACUGGGCGUAAAGCGCACGCAGGCGGUCUGUCAAGUCGGAUGUGAAAUCCCCGGGCUCAACCUGGGAACUGCAUUCGAAACUGGCAGGCUAGAGUCUUGUAGAGGGGGGUAGAAUUCCAGGUGUAGCGGUGAAAUGCGUAGAGAUCUGGAGGAAUACCGGUGGCGAAGGCGGCCCCCUGGACAAAGACUGACGCUCAGGCGCGAAAGCGUGGGGAGCAAACAGGA